UCUGGUUGAUCCUGCCAGUAGUGAUAUGCUUGUUUCAAAGAUUAAGCCAUGCAUGUCUAAGUAUAAGCGAACUUAUACAGUGAAACUGCGGAUGGCUCAUUAAAACAGUUUGAAUUUAUUUGAUGAAUGUAUGAGAAUACUACUUGGAUAACCGUAGUAAUUCUAGAGCUAAUACAUGCAACGACGCCCGACCGUUUCACUACGGAAGGGCUGUAUUUAUUGGAUACCAAAACCAUCCUUCCCUCGGGAAGUUUUGUUUGAUGAUUCACAAUAACUGAUCGGAUCGCCACUGUGGUGGCGACAGGUCAUUCAACAUUCUGCCCUAUCAGCUUUCGAUGGUUGUGUAGUGGACAACCAUGGCCAUAACGGGUAACGGAGAAUCAGGGUUCGAUUCCGGAGAAGGAGCUUGAGAAUUGGCUACUACAUCUAAGGAAGGCAGCAGGCGCGCAAAUUACCCAAUCCCGAUUCGGGGAGGUAGUGACAAAAAAUAACAAUACCGGGCCUUUUUGGGCUUGGUAAUUGGAAUGAGGGAGAGUUAAACGGACCAUCGAGUAUCCAUUGGAGGGCAAGUCUGGUGCCAGCAGCUGCGGUAAUACCAGCUCCAAUAGCGUAUAUUAAAGUUGUUGCAGUUAAAAAGCUCGUAGUUGGACUUGUGUGCGCUGUCCGCGGGUGGCCUGCGCCCAAAAGGGCGUUUCGGUUCGGCCCCGGUGGCGCCUUGAAAUCUGCAGCUGGGGGGACGUUGGCCUUAACUGGUCGGCGACCGCACGCCGGCUGCUCGGUUACUGUGAGAAAAUUAGAGUGUUCAAGGCAGGCAUUGGGUGCAAUUGAAUACAUUAGCAUGGAAUAAUAAAAUAUGGCUCCUGCCGUAUUUUGUUGGUUUUGACUGGUGGGAGUAAUGAUUGAUAGGGACGGUUGGGGGUGCUAGUAUUGAGCGGCCAGAGGUGAAAUUCAUGGAUUCGCUCAAGACUAACUUAUGCGAAAGCAUUCACCAAGGACGUCCUCUUUAAUCAAGAACGAAAGUUGGGGGAUCGAAGACGAUCAGAUACCGUCGUAGUCUCAACCAUAAACUAUGUCGACUUGGGAUCGGCGGUAGUUUUUUCAUUAAGACACUGUCGGGACCACGGGAGAAAUCAAAGUGUCUGGACUCUGGGGGAAGUAUGGUCGCAAGGCUGAAACUUGAAGGAAUUGACGGAAGGGCACCACCAGGAGUGGAGCCUGCGGU
rnacentral:rRNA from 1 species